AUCCACCCCUCUUUUUUAUGGCUUCCUACUCCCAGUGAAAACAUACUAUCCCAUGAGAAGCUCUGCUUUGCUUUUUACCCAGACAGAUUUACUACUCUCUGAAGUAUGAAGAACCAGAAUAAUAGUGAGAAAUUAUUCAUAAGAAUGUACAGCAAUAUAUUCAGGGAAAAAAAAUGAAAACUCAAUUCUUGAAGUUGAUGUUAGAAUGAGGAAAAAUGGCAAAAAUCCUCAGCCACUACUCGAUGUAUGAGUGAGCCAACUUCUGCGUCCUCCAUUACAGAAGCAGCAGGCGGUGAUAGGAAACUUGGACGGUUGUCGUUGACGUCUUGAAUGAUAAUCUGAGCUGUC